rfam:Leersia perrieri chromosome 8, whole genome shotgun sequence.
GGUGUUGUGGCGUAGUUGGUUAUCACGUCAGUCUAACACACUGAAGGUCUCCGGUUCGAACCCGUGCGACGCCA